UCUGUUCGCCCGGCCCCUCAGCCUCCCCCCUCAGGCUGGCCAGCUCCGCUUCCAGGGGGCAGCUCUGAGUCUCUGUCCCCAUGCAGAAACAGGCAAGAAACCAUACCAGGGAUGGGCCUUCUCUUCAAAUAAAACUACAGCAUUCUGGACUCAGAUACUAUGGUGAUGGAUAUCAUAAAUCUCUGGCUAGAGGUACAGUAAUCACUGCAGUAUGACUAUUCAUGAAGAGGCUCCAAAUUUACAUCUUUUGCCAGUGCUGCUGCUUUUCACUGAAUAUUUGGAGUAUCCCCAAACCAGACAGUAGUUGAAUAGCCUUGUUGCUGGCUCCAUUAGAUAAUUUUUGCCGUCCCUAUUAUCCUGACCCUACUGUAAUGCACAAACACCACCACAGUUAUGCAGCUUUAGACCCCGACAAGGCUGCCUCUGCCCUGUCCAGUUUAUUAAUAGAGGCCAUGAAAGUGAACUUGCUAACACUGAUAGUCAAAAGCAACACUGGCUUUUGAGUCUUAAAUACAGAUGUUCUAGGGAAAUCAGAAUGACUAUUGCCAAGUACUAUACAGGAAUGAAGUCUGAAUUUCAAAAGCCGGAAAAACCAACUGCACAUUCUUUCUGACAAUCUGAUAUGAUUCCUCUCUUCUCUGUGGCUUCAUCAGAUGAAUGUUAGUGGUUAUCAGAUAUAUUUAUCUAGCCAGACAUUUGCUUUGUGAUUCCAACAAGGAACUUUUGUUUGUAUUAUGCCACGUGUGAAAAAGAAGAAAUAUUCAAGCACCACAUCAUGCACAUUAAUAUUACCUAUACAUAUUUUCACAACUUGGAUUUUGAUUUAGUACUUGGUGGAAAGCAAAGGUGUCAAUCGCAUGGAGAAGUCCUACAGAACUUACAGAAAAUAACUAGGGCUGUCAAAUGAUGGUAAAAACUCACAAUUGCGAGAUUAAAAAAAUUAGUCAUGAUUAAUUGUAGUUUUGAUCGCACUGUUAAACAAUAAG